UCAAGUAUUCAUCGCGAAUUUUAGAGAAAACCGAAACCCUACACGAAAAACACGAUUUGACAAAUUCGUGAGGGAUUUGAAAGGGGAUCACAUUAAAGAUGCUUACAAGGAUUCUAGUAAUAUUUUCCCCCAACAAAUCUCACAGGAUUUGAGCUCAAACAUGAAGAACGAAAAAUCCCCAAAAAUAGCUCUGAAAAUACUAAAAAAGAAAAACGGGAGAAAUAAAAGAUUUAGCCACGGAUUUUAACCACAAAUUCGACUAAAUCACAAGGAUAACAUGACUAGCCUCCUCCUUUCAUCCUCCUCUAAGAUGGAGAAAUUAAGAGAAAAGAGCUAUCACCCUCUCAUCUCCCUCCUCUCC
rnacentral:lncRNA from 1 species